AGCGAACGCUGGCGGCAUGCCUAACACAUGCAAGUCUGACGGGCGGGGCUUUUGGGCUCUGUCAGUGGCGGACGGGUGAGGAGCGCGUAGGAACGUAUCCAGGGGUGGGGGACAACCGCGGGAAACUGCGGCUAAUACCGCAUGGGGCCUUGUGGGGAGACCCGAAAGGGGGAGUCCGGGCCGAAAGGACGAGGCGACCUCGCCGCCGCUGGAGCGGCCUGCGUCCGAUUAGCUAGUUGGUGGGGUGGACGGCCCACCAAGGCUGUGAUCGGUAGCUGGUCUGAGAGGAUGAUCAGCCACACUGGGAC
rnacentral:rRNA from 1 species